UGUCUCUUUGAGUACCUAUAUAUAAAGAGUCUGGCCUGCCCGGUGAAUUCUUAUUUAACGGCCGCGGUACUUUAACCGUGCAAAGGUAGCAUAAUCAUUUGUCUUAUAAUUGAAGUCUGGAAUGAAUGGUUUGACAAGAGUAUAGCUGUCUCUAUCUUUUUACUAGAAUUUUAUGAUUAAGUUAAAAAGCUUAAAUACGAUUAAAAGACGAGAAGACCCUAUCGAGCUUUAGGAAAAUUUUAAAAUUUUUGACAUUUAUGAAGAUUCAAAUACUUAAAAAAACUUUGGUUGGGGCAACCCGAGAACAUGAAAAGUUUCUCGUAUGUAAACAACUUUUAGGUUUUGACCCACUAAUAGUGAUAAAAAAAAUGAGUUACCGUAGGGAUAACAGCAUAAUCUUUUUUGAGAGCUCAAAUCGAAAAAAAGGUUUGUGACCUCGAUGUUGGACCAAGAUAACCUAAAGAUGUAGAAGUCUUUUAUGGUUGGUCUGUUCGACCAUUAAAAUCUUACGUGAUCUGAGUUCAGACCGG
rnacentral:rRNA from 1 species